rnacentral:rRNA from 1 species
AGGGCACCACCAGGAGUGGAGCCUGCGGCUUAAUUUGACUCAACACGGGGAAACUUACCCGGCCUGGACACUGGAAGGAUUGACAGAUUGAGAGCUCUUUCUUGAUUCAGUGGGUGGUGGUGCAUGGCCGUUCUUAGUUGGUGGAGCGAUUUGUCUGGUUAAUUCCGAUAACGAACGAGACUCUAGCCUAUUAAAUAGGCUCUCGGCUUUUAAACGCCGGGAGGACUUCUUAGAGGGACAGGUGGCGGUUCAGCCGCACGAAAGAGAGCAAUAACAGGUCUGUGAUGCCCUUUGUUGUCCGGGGCCGCACGCGCGCUACACUGAAGAGAUCAGCGUGCUUUACGUUCCUGCUCCGACCGGAGUGGGGAACCCAGUGAACCUUCUUCGUGAUUGGGAUAGAAGAUUGUAAUUAUUCUUCUUGAACGAGGAAUUCCCAGUAAAUGCGAGUCAUAAGCUCGCGUUGAUUACGUCCCUGCCCUUUGUACACACCGCCCGUCGCUGCUACCGAUUGAACGAUUU